AUUGCUAACACACAUUAACAUUUUAUUGUAUGUACUCAUUUAUAAGCUAAUAAAUCUAGUUAUUAAAAACUUAAACACGGCAUGUUUUACAUAAGACAUCAAUAAAAUAAUAGUACUUAAAAUCUAACUUAUACGCGAAUACAUACACUGCUAACACAUAUGAAAGUAGAUGUACCUAUCUAUGAACUAGUGUUUUUCUCGUGUUUAGUAACAAAGUUUGACGAAAAAUUUAAUGUAAAAAAAUAUUCUACAUAAAAACACCAGUUUAUACAAAUGUAGUUAUACUAUUUCCAACAUGUUGAAUACAUUUUUAUUAUAAAUUAUAUAAAAGUAUUUUAUUUUAUGGUAAACAGCUACUAUAAAUUUGUAUUUACCUCUUAGUAGCUUAGUAAGACCACAGACUAUUACAACAAAUUAAAUAAAAAUAUCAGUGUAAUAGGUAUUGUUGGAAUAAUAAACGAGGAGACUGGUUCGCAAGUGGAGUACAAUCUGUAAAUACGCAAAAUCUCCUUGAUUCUGUAAUUAUAACAAAUAAGAGUAUCAUAAGGAGAAUUCGCAUACCUCCUUACGAAGUAUAUAAAACUCAUUGGCGCAAUGGUGAGAUAUCUCCAUAUAGGAUGAAGAUUAAUAAGUUCCGAUAUUGUAUCUUUACACAGUUUUAAGAAGUUAAUUUCUCUUUCAUAAUUUUGUUACCACAAGUUGUUCAUGAUUUUCUUUAGAUCCCGAAAUACAGAGACAUUAUUGGGCAGCAUCUUUUCUUCUACCUGUCGGAACAAUCUUCGUUCUUGCUUUGAUAGUUAUUUUGAUGGUAAUAUUUUGUUCAUAGUUUCUCAUAUAUUCAUAACAAAAUAAUCAAUUGUUAUAAAUUAUAUUCAUAAAUGACAGUCAUUUUAAAUUUACAAUUAUUUCAGGUUUUGUUCAAAAGAUGUCCACAAAUGGUUGCCGUGAUUGUCGCAGCGAUUCUUGGCGUCAUUAUUGUAUUUACGACGGUGAUAUCAAUUAGUCAUGCACCGAUUUAUGCUUGACAAUCUUUAAUACUAUUGUUCCAAAUAUGUGACAUAAAAUUUUAUCUUUUAUAGUAUAGAUUUUCCUAAAACAUUAUAGAUAAAGACUGGUGUAAAGAUAGUUGUAUCAUCAGCGGAGACAAUUACACGUCCGCACAUAUUAAAUAUUUUUAUAUGUA